rnacentral:rRNA from 1 species
CAGAGGGUGCAAGCGUUGCUCGGAUUUACUGGGCGUAAAGCGUACGCAGACGGUGAGGAAGGUCGGAUGUGAAAGCCCUGGGCUCAACCCAGGAACUGCAUCCGAAACCCCCUCGCUAGAGUAUAGGAGAGGGAAGCGGAAUUCCUGGUGUAGAGGUGAAAUUCGUAGAUAUCAGGAGGAACAUCUGCGGCGAAGGCGGCUUCCUGGCCUAUUACUGACGUUCAGGUACGAAAGCGUGGGUAGCAAACAGGAUUAGAUACCCUGGUAGUCCACGCCGUAAACGAUGAGUGCUGGAUGUCGGGGGUAUUCACCCCCUCGGUAUCGAAGCCAACGCGAUAAGCACUCCGCCUGGGAGUACGGCCGCAAGGUUG